rnacentral:rRNA from 2 species
UAGAACGGCAGACGCUGGCGGCAGGCCUAACACAUGCAAGUCGAGCGGCAGCGGGUCCUUCGGGAUGCCGGCGAGCGGCGGACGGGUGAGUAAUGCCUAGGAAUCUGCCUGGUAGUGGGGGAUAACUCGGGGAAACUCGAGCUAAUACCGCAUACGUCCUACGGGAGAAAGCGGGGGAUCUUCGGACCUCGCGCUACCAGAUGAGCCUAGGUCGGAUUAGCUAGUUGGUGAGGUAAAGGCUCACCAAGGCGACGAUCCGUAGCUGGUCUGAGAGGAUGAUCAGCCACACUGGAACUGAGACACGGUCCAGACUCCUACGGGAGGCAGCAGUGGGGAAUAUUGGACAAUGGGCGAAAGCCUGAUCCAGCCAUGCCGCGUGUGUGAAGAAGGUCUUCGGAUUGUAAAGCACUUUAAGUUGGGAGGAAGGGCAGUAAGCUAAUACCUUGCUGUUUUGACGUUACCGACAGAAUAAGCACCGGCUAACUUCGUGCCAGCAGCCGCGGUA